CAGAUGGAUCAAAAAGACGAGCUGAUAUUUCUGAAGGAGGAAGCUUGUCGGAAGAGAAGGAUUAGUAAGGAGGGGAACGAAUUCUCAGCUGCUGACAGCUCUCUGUGUCUCGCACAGUUCACUGGCCCUUUGCAGUACAUAGUCUGGAGAGAAAUGGCACACACCAUUCACCCAGCUCCAGCCUCUCUGACUCUGGAUCCGAACACAGCGCAUCCCCGGCUCAUCCUGUCUGAGGACCGGACCAGUGUGAGACUCGGAGACACAGAGCAGCCGCUCCCUGACUCCCCGGAGAGAUUUGAUUCCUGGGAAUGCGUCCAGGGAUCAGAGG